rnacentral:rRNA from 1 species
AUUGAACGCUGGCGGCAUGCUUUACACAUGCAAGUCGAACGGUAACAGGCCGCAAGGUGCUGACGAGUGGCGAACGGGUGAGUAAUGCAUCGGAACGUGCCCAGUCGUGGGGGAUAACGCAGCGAAAGCUGCGCUAAUACCGCAUACGAUCUAUGGAUGAAAGCGGGGGACCGUAAGGCCUCGCGCGAUUGGAGCGGCCGAUGUCAGAUUAGGUAGUUGGUGGGGUAAGGCUCACCAAGCCGACGAUCUGUAGCUGGUCUGAGAGGACGACCAGCCACACGGGGACUGAGACACGGCCCAGACUCCGACGGGAGGCAGCAGUGGGGAAUUUUGGCCAAUGGGCGCAAGGCUGAUUCAGCAAUGCCGCGUGCAGGAAGAAGGCCUUCGGGUUGUAAACUGCUUUUGUACGGAACGAAAAGGCUCUGGUUAAUACCUGGGGCUCAUGACGGUACCGUAAGAAUAAGCACCGGCUAACUACGUGCCAGCAGCCGCGGUAA